rnacentral:lncRNA from 1 species
AUUUGGUAGAUUUUGUUUUCGUCUGGCUCUUUCCUCCACUCGAUCCAAUCGAUCAUGCAAUUUAUCAAAAUUUGAUUUCACCAUUCUACGUAUCUCUUGCUUCAAAUAUUGGAAAUCUGAUUCGGAAAAUUCUUGUGACAUGAUUUUUUUUUGCUAAAAAAAUGAUUAAAAUAAAAUAGAAAGUAAAUACCUCACCACAAAAAUCUCACGUUUCACUCACAAAAAAAAUUGGAUAACACUUCACUCGUGUUUACACUUGUUUAAUGGCUUUUGCUCGCUCUAAUGUACUCACCACUCGUGCCUUUUUCCGCUCGUCUCACUCUCGUGAAUUCGUAUUUUGUUUCAAGAAGACUUAUUGCGGCUUAGAGGGUCGGCUUCAAAUGGGUUACAAGGGAUAACGUCGGGUGUAGGGUAGGCUAAACAAAGAAAAUAAAAAUCAAAGUAUGUGUGGCGUUUUGGG